UGGAGACUGCAGAGUGUGAUUGGGA
rnacentral:piRNA from 1 species